rnacentral:rRNA from 1 species
UACGGGGGGGGCAAGCGUUGUUCGGAAUUACUGGGCGUAAAGGGCGCGUAGGCGGUUCGCUAAGUUGAAUGUGAAAACUCUGGGCUUAACCCAGAGCCUGCAUUCAAUACUGGCGGGCUAGAGUUCUGGAGGGGAUAGGCGGAAUUCCUGGUGUAGCGGUGAAAUGCGUAGAUAUCAGGAGGAACACCGGUGGCGAAGGCGGCUAUCUGGACAGAGUCUGACGCUGAGGCGCGAAAGCUAGGGGAGCAAACAGG